rnacentral:rRNA from 1 species
AGAGGCCCAAGCUGAUAAGCCCCGGCGUAAAGAGUGGUUAAGAAGAGAUGAAAACUAAAGCCGAAUGCUUUCAAGACUGUUAUACGUUCCCGAAAGUAAGAAGGCCAAUCACGAAAGUGGCUUUAUAAUACCUGACCCCACGAAAGCUACGAUACAAACUGGGAUUAGAUACCCCACUAUGCCUAGCCUUAAACAUUGACAACCCCCUACAUCUGUUGUCCGCCAGGAAACUACGAGCAUUA